rnacentral:tRNA from 1 species
GAGGAUAUAGCUCAGAGGUAGAGUGUGUGCUUAGCAUGCACAGGGUCCUGGGUUCAAAUCCCAGUGCCUCCA